CAAAGGCCAUUUUAAAUCGAAAAACGCUCAUUCGUCACCCUCCUAUUCUCUCUCGUCUCCUCUCCUUCCCCAAAUCCUCUUACCUCUCUCUACAUUAUCUCUUCCUCUCCUUCUCCUCUUUCUCCUCCUCAGUUCGUCGGCAGAAGCGACGACAGCGACGCCGCCGCCGCUCCUCUCUCCCAUUUCUUUCUUCUCUUUUUCGUUUCUUCUUGCCCUCUCCCCCUUUUUUUGGCUCACCUCCUCUCUGCUCUCAACUCACCACUCGCAGCGUCGUCGUCGCCGUCUCUUCCUCGGUGGAAAAGAAGAAAAAAAAGGUAAGCACUCCGCUAUGUUCCCCCACUCUUUUAAUUUCUCGAUUUCGAACGGAUUCAGAUUUGCAUGCGUCGGAGGAUGCCUCCGGUGAGUCCUCCUGAGACAUGGAAGCCCCCGAUCUACAAAUCUAGGGUUUGAUUAGGUUUUUUUUUAUAUAUUUUUUUACUUGCUUUCAUGUUUUUUCUUUGGGGGGUGAGAUUCGGUUGAUAGGAAGAAGAAGAUCCCGUGGCAGCAGCGAAAAGACAGGCAGAGAGAAAGGGUGUUAGGUAAAAGAAACUCUCCCCUGUUUCUUUUCAUUAAUCUAUGUUUAGUUGAUAACGAAAUUAAAUAACGAUCUUUUUGAUUUUUCCAGAUCUACAAAAAUGUGUAAAACCGAGUUGCUCUAGAAAAUCGGGAGGAAAAGGAAAAGAUUGCCUCUAGAAGGUAAAACAAUUAGUCUCUAUCUGUUCUUAUUUUGCUUGAUAGAUGGUGAUAGUUUUGUUGUUGAUUAGGUUACUUGAAAUUAAAAAACUUGACUAUUUUGUUGUUAAGAUGAACUUAGUCAUGUGGACAUCCUAAAAACUAUCAAUUUGCUUGAAAAUUUGAUUAUUUUGUUAUCCUUGAUAAAAUACAUUUUAGCUCGAUUUCAGUACUAUGUUGUGAAUUGUUGGUGCAAAUGGUGUGAAAAUGAUGAUAAAUGGUCUUUAAGUCUCUUAUUAAUGUAAUUUCCAGCAACUUUUAUUUAUUUUAGAAUGUUUAUUUUACUGUUUAGUCCAUUGUUUGCUAAGAUGAUGGAUCAUUUAUUCAUUUAGUUGUAAUGGAUACUAGAUUAAAAGUGGCUUUAAACAACAUGGCAUAACAAACACAUUCAUAUGCAUGAGCUGAAAAUAUGAGUGAUAUGUGAAUGAUCGAAAAUAGGGAUGUUUGUGAAUGAUAUACUUUUAAUACAAAGCUUCGUUCUUGUGUUUCAGGAGGCGGCGCCCUUUGUGGGUGACGACAAAAUUCUCUUUUGGCGACUUCUACGAGGGUGACCACAAAAGAGACUUGUAAUUUUUUUUUAGCGUUUUGUAAUAUUUAUUUCUUGGGACUUUGUGGGGUUGUGAACUGAUUUGUAUACGGGUUUAAGGGGUUUUUGAGGAGAAUUGAGGGAGAAUUGGAGAGUUUUUGUAACUUUUUAUUUCAAUCUUUUUCUUUUAAAUGUAAAAAUGGCUACCACCUCCCCUCAAAACUAACCACAACUUUACAAUGCAUUUUGACACAAAAGGGAGGUGGCAGCUCCCUAAUUAAUAACAGUAAUAGGCCCGAAAUUGGACCUCAAAUAGGGCCCAAAAUCAAAUUGGGCCGAAAUAUGCAUAAACCGUCGC
rnacentral:lncRNA from 1 species